rnacentral:rRNA from 1 species
CCUACGGGAGGCUGCAGUGGGGAAUAUUGGGCAAUGGGCGCAAGCCUGACCCAGCAACGCCGCGUGAAGGAAGAAGGCUUUCGGGUUGUAAACUUCUUUUCUCAGGGACGAAGAAAGUGACGGUACCUGAGGAAUAAGCCACGGCUAACUACGUGCCAGCAGCCGCGGGAAUACGUAGGUGGCAAGCGUUAUCCGGAUUUACUGGGUGUAAAGGGCGUGUAGGCGGGAAAGCAAGUCAGAUGUGAAAACCAUGGGCUCAACCUGUGGCCUGCAUUUGAAACUGUUUUUCUUGAGUACUGGAGAGGCAGACGGAAUUCCUCGUGUAGCGGUGAAAUGCGUAGAUAUGAGGAGGAACACCAGUGGCGAAGGCGGUCUGCUGGACAGCAACUGACGCUGAGGCGCGAAAGCGUGGGGAGCAAACAGGAUUAGAUACCCCUGUAGUC